rnacentral:lncRNA from 10 species
AGGCCUAAAAGGCUGCCCUCAAUAAACCACCCAAGCAGGCUGGAGUGCAGUGGCACGAUCACAGUUCACUGCAGCUUUGUUCCUGGACUCAAGUGAUCCUCCCACCUCAGCCUCCCAAGCAGCUGGAACUACAGGUCACGACCCCCAGGAGACCUGGAGGACUGAAUGCUGCUGCCCCCAAGGAGGAGGCUGCCGUCUUAUCCCAGGAGGGAGAGCAGGAAAAUAAAAAGGUUCAAAAGGAAGUUGCUGCGUAUCCAUCUGAGGCCUCUGAGGACAGCAAAGAGCA